CUACGGGUUGCUCCAGUGGGGAAUAUUGCACAAUGGGCGCAAGCCUGAUGCAGCAACGCCGCGUGAGUGAUGAAGGCUUUCGAGUCGUAAAACUCUUUUCUUGAGGAAGAAACUUGACGGUACUCAAGGAAUAAGCCCCGGCUAAUUACGUGCCAGCAGCCGCGGUAAUACGUAAGGGGCAAGCGUUAUCCGGAAUCACUGGGCGUAAAGGGUGCGUAGGUGGUCUUGUAAGUCAGAAGUGAAAGGCUACGGCUUAACCGUAGUAAGCUUUUGAAACUGCAGGACUGGAGUGCAGGAGAGGAAAGUGGAAUUCCUAGUGUAGCGGUGAAAUGCGUAGAUAUUAGGAGGAACACCAGUGGCGAAGGCGACUUUCUGGACUGUAACUGACACUGAGGCACGAAAGCGUGGGGAGCGAACAGGAUUAGAUACCCUCGUAGUC
rnacentral:rRNA from 1 species